rnacentral:misc_RNA from 1 species
AAGAAGCACGUUGAUAAAUAUUGUUCUAAAAAAUAGUCCCGGCCAUCUAUCCCUCUUAAAUGUGCUAGUGUAUAAAAUUAUUAAUAUCAUAUUUUUAAUAUUACAUGUAUUUUGACCAAAAAAAUAAACUCAUUUGUCUCACUCAUUUUCAAUACAGGAAAAUAUAUGUUUGUUGAACAUGUUGUAUAUAUGCAGCAUGUAAUCUUUUUAGAGAUUGUUUUCAAUUGAUAACUGGUUUUAUGUAAGAUGUACAUGUAUAGAACCAUAGAGAAAUAUGUGCUAAUGAGAGAGAAAGAGAGAGAGAUAGAGAGAGAGAGAGAUUUUAUACUUUGUGAUAAAUCGAAUAUUUAGGCAACAAUCUAUACACUGUUCACAAGUUUUUUUAUCUAUGUAUAUUUGAAUACAAUGUGUAAAUGU